rnacentral:rRNA from 1 species
CUUUAAGCUCCUUGAAGGGUCGUUCGAGACCAGGACGUUGAUAGGCUGGGUGUGGAAGCGCAGUAAUGCGUUAAGCUAACCAGUACUAAUUGCCCGUAAGGCUUGUCCC